UGAGUCGGCCGGGUGGCCGCGGCACGACUUGAUCGUGUCGAGGAAAGUCGGGACUCCACAGAGCAGAGUGCUGGCGUGAGCCAGGUUGGGGCGACCUAACGGAAGUGCAACAGAGAGAGACCGCCGAUGGACCGUUGGUUUCGACCGACGGUCACAGGUAAGGGUGCAACGGUGCGGUAAGAGCGCACCAGCGUGCAAGGCGACUUGUACGGCUCGGUAAACCCCACUCGGAGCAAGGCCAAGCAGAGAGAUUGAACUGCUCGUUCGUCGGCUUUUGUCGGCAACUCUCGGGUAGGCCGCACUAGAGGGAUGGUCACCGUCGAACCGCUCCGGCGGCAAGGCACAGAAUCCCGCUUACAGGCCGACUCACUAC
rnacentral:RNase_P_RNA from 1 species